rnacentral:rRNA from 1 species
AGUGAACGCUGGCGGUAGGCCUAACACAUGCAAGUCGAACGGCAGCACAGUAAGAGCUUGCUCUUACGGGUGGCGAGUGGCGGACGGGUGAGGAAUACAUCGGAAUCUACUUUUUCGUGGGGGCUAAAGUGGGGAAACUUACGCUAAUACCGCAUACGACCUACGGGUGAAAGCAGGGGAUCUUCGGACCUUGCGCGAUUGAAUGAGCCGAUGUCGGAUUAGCUAGUUGGCGGGGUAAAGGCCCACCAAGGCGACGAUCCGUAGCUGGUCUGGGAGGAUGAUCAGCCACACUGGAACUGGGACACGGUCCAGACUCCUGCGGGAGGCAGCAGUGGGGAAUAUUGGACAAUGGGCGCAAGCAUGAUCCAGCCAUACCGCGUGGGUGAAGAAGGCCUUCGGGUUGUAAAGCCCUUCUGUUGGGAAAGAAAAGCAGCAGGUUAAUACCCCGCUGUUCUGACGGUACCCAAAGAAUAAGCACCGGCUAACUUCGUG